CAUUCAGGACAUCUCACAGCUAAGGCUUCAUGAGGGCCGGAUUAGUAGUUGGGUCGGUGACGACCAGCGAAUACCUGGUGUUGUU